rnacentral:rRNA from 1 species
GUGUCAGCAGCCGCGGUAAGACGAGGGAUCCUAGCGUUGUUCGGAAUCAUUGGGCGUAAAGCGGAUGUAGGUGGCUUUGUAAGUCAGGUGUGAAAGCCCCGGGCUCAACCCGGGAAGUGCAUUUGAUACUGCGAAGCUUGAGUGCUGGAGAGGCUACUAGAAUACCUGGUGUAGUGGUGAAAUACGUAGAUAUCAGGUGGAAUACCGGAGGCGAAGGCGGGUAGCCAGCCAGACACUGACACUCAGAUCCGAAAGUGUGGGGAUCAAACAGGAUUAGAUACCCUUGUAGUCC